rnacentral:rRNA from 3 species
GUUCCCUCCGAGACGGAUCCCGAGUAGUGCGGGGCACGUGAAACCCCGUAUGAAUCCGGCAGGACCAUCUGCCAAGGCUAAAUACUUCCUAGCGACCGAUAGUGAAGCAGUACCGUGAGGGAAAGGUGAAAAGCACCCCGGAAGGGGAGUGAAAUAGAACCUGAAACCGUGUGCUUACAAAAAGUCAGAGCCCGUUUUAGGGGUGAUGGCGUGCCUUUUGUAGAAUGAACCGGCGAGUUACGUUCCCGUGCAAGGUUAAGGUGAAGAGCCGGAGCCGCAGCGAAAGCGAGUCUGAAUAGGGCGA